AAAUCCCUAUUGUGUGACACUGAUCAAGUUGAUUUACCUCUCCAUGCCUCAGUUUCCUGAUCUGUAAAAUAGGGCUAUAAUCCUCUCCCUCAUAGGACAGCUGCGGAAAAACCGUGUCUUAGGUUACAUAGCAGGCACAGCCAUGAGAGGUGGGCCUGUGGUUAAAGUUAUGAAUUGCCAGAGCCUGCUCUCUGCCCUCUCCCAGGAGUCAUGGAGGCUGCUGUCACCCAUCAGGCCCCCAGCCCAUCUCUGAGUCCCAAGACCCCAGCCUGAGAAGAACCCAGGAGCCGGGCCUGUUUCUCUGGGGAAGUGAGGCACGGUGGCCCCUGACCCCAGCCAUUCGCCCGACCCCCAGACCACAGCCUGCAAGAGGCUAAUCUGCCCCCCCAACACUGCCCAUGACCCCCCCUGCGUUGGUGAGGCUGCGCCCGCCCGCACCCAUUCAUGUAUUUUGUAUUAUAAAAUGACUGCCGUCUCCAUGGCAACAUAAAAGGAGCCGAUCUCAUUACUGGGGCCCGGACACAUUAUUUUCUCCAAGGAAUUUCUUCUUUUCAUUAUUUCCCUCCAAAGGGAUAAGCAUUUAUUCUUUUUAAGACCCUGGAAAACACAGGCUUUGGUGCUGCAGCAUUCAGCUUAUGCAAAACCUGUGCCCCUUCUCCAGUUCUCGAGGUGGUGGAAGAAAAGGGCUGCUGCUUUGACAGGGGCUACUUGUGGACAGUUCUGGGG
rnacentral:lncRNA from 13 species